AUGGCUGCUGAGCUUGGGCAUCUCGCCCGAGCAGCUGCAGCAAUUCUCUGCCUGUUGAUUUUCCAUGUUGCACCGGCUGAUUCCCUUGCUAAAGCGAGGGUAUCAGGUGGGACUGGAACCUGCAUCAGCAGGGAGCUUGAUGCGCUUUUGUCCUUCAAGGAAGGCCUUCUCGACCCUACUGGCCGUCUGUCGUCAUGGCAUGGCGUAGAUUGCUGUCAGUGGCAUGGUGUCCGGUGCAGCAGCAGAACAGGCCAUGUCAUCAAGCUCAACCUCCGCAACACCUACACUGACAACUACUACAACUACAUGUUGAACAGCCUAAGCUUGUCGAGAGAUGAGAUGAGCUCAUCUUUGGCUGCUCUGCAAAAGUUGAGGUAUCUUGAUCUGAGUGGGAAUGACUUCAAUGGCACCAGCAUACCUGUGUUUGUGGGCUCUCUGGAGAACCUAAGGUACCUCAACCUCUCGUUGUCAAGUUUUAGUGGGAGAAUACCUUCACAACUUGGUAAUCUCUCAAAUUUGCAAUAUCUUGAUAUUGGUAGUGAUUUUUUCAAUGAGGUCAAAGUAAUGGAUCUUGCAUGGUUGUCGCGUCUAUCAAUGUUGAGUCAUGUUGUCUUGAGAGGAGUGGACCUCCCUGCUGUGCGGAAUUGGUUUCACAUGGUUAACAUGCUUGCUUCUCUAAAAGCGCUCCGCUUAGUAAAUUGUGGCCUUACAAACACAGUGGCUGCUACUUCAGUAUCAAUAUCAAACCUCACACAUCUUGAAGUCCUUGAUCUAUCAUUCAACUCAUUUAACACAUCACUAGAGCACAGCUGGUUUUGGGAUCUCACAAGCCUUAAGGAACUUUACCUAUCAUCUUGCUACUGGCAUGGAUCUAUUCCUAAACAACUGGGAAACAUGACUAACCUUCAAGUCAUGGAUUUUGAUCAGAAUGAUCUUGUGGGUUUGAUACCGAGCAACUUGGAAAAUUUGUGCAAUUUGAAAGUGCUUGAUUUCAGCCGUAACAACAUUAGUGCGAGCAUAGGGGAGUUCAUGGAUCGAUUGCCGAGGUGCUCAUGGAGUACUAUACAAAUAUUGUCAAUGGAUGAGACAAAUAUGAUCGGAAAACUGCCAAUAUGGAUCGGGAACAUGACCAGCCUCAGUGUUCUUUCAGCCAGUGGAAACAUGAUAACUGGUACUGUACCAUUGGGAGUUGGAGCCCUUGGUAACUUGACAUCGUUGGAUCUCGGCUACAAUAAAAUCGAUGGUGUGCUCAGGAAGGAGCAUUUUUCUGGUUUACUGAAUUUAGAGUAUCUGGACUUGUGGGAGAACUCGUUGCACAUGGAUAUUGAACCAAAUUGGGGUCCUCCGUUUAGACUAAAGGUCCUACGCUUAAAGUCAUGCACAGUGGGUCCCCGUUUUCCAGAGUGGCUUAGAUGGCAGACUGACAUUGAUUCUCUUGCUCUCCAAGAUGCAAAGUUGGAUGACGUUAUUCCUGAUUGGUUUUGGGUGACAUUUUCACGAGCUGGGUACUUGGAUGCAUCAGGAAACAUGUUGCGUGGUUCAUUACCGGCGAAUCUACAACACAUGUCAGCAAACAUGUUAAGUCUGGUCUCCAAUAAUCUUACAGGUCAAGUUCCACGGCUCUUUCCUAUAAAUAUAACAGAUAUAUAUCUGUCUUCAAACUAUUUCUCGGGGUCAUUGCCAUCGGAGCUAGAAGCUCCACUACUCGGAGGAUUGUUGCUUGCAGAUAAUCAAAUUACAGGCACCAUUCCAUCGUCCAUGUGCCAAUUGACUAGUCUGAUGCGGUUGGACCUAUCGGGGAACAAAUUAACAGGAGAUGUUAUGCAGUGCUGGAAGGAGUCAGAUAACAAUUCUUCGGCGUUCGGUGCAAACUCUGCUGAUCAAUUUGGUUCAUAUAUGGGUACUCUAGCAUUGAACAACAAUGAUCUCUCAGGUGAAUUCCCUAAAUUUCUUCAAAGGGCCUCACAACUGAUGUUCCUUGAUCUUUCACACAAUAGGUUCUUUGGAACAUUGCCAAUGUGGUUACCAGAAAAAAUGCCACGCUUGGAAAUCUUAAGGGUGAGAUCAAACAUAUUCAGUGGCCAUAUUCCUAAGAACCUUACUUUUCUAGGAAAUCUUCACUAUUUGGACAUGGCCUAUAACAAUAUAUCAGGCAGUAUACCAUGGUCACUAUCAAACUUGGAUGCCAUGGUCAAUAUUAGGCAUAGGCUUUUACAACCUCUUCUUGAGGAGAGCAUGCCAGUCAUCAUAAAAGGACAGACACGUGAAUAUACCUUUCAAAGCUACAAUCUACUGGUGAAUCUUGAUCUUUCAUGUAACAGUUUAACAGGACAGAUUCCCGAGGAGAUAAGUUUGCUCAUUGGGCUCACCGGUCUGAACUUAUCUGGUAAUCAGUUGAUCGGCAAAAUUCCAAACAAGAUUGGCGAUCUGAAGCGGUUGGAGUCCCUCGAUCUAUCCUACAACGAGUUAUCUGGUGAAAUCCCAUCAAGUUUGUCAGCUUUAACCUCUCUGAGCCACUUGAACUUGUCGUAUAACAAUUUAUCAGGCCCGGUACCAUCCGGGCAACAACUACAGAUUCUCGACAACCUGAACUAUACCUACAUUGGCAACCCUGACCUCUGUGGCUACCCUCUCUCCAAGAACUGCUCUGCUAGUACUACUGAUGUGAAGCAAAGUCUCGGCCAUGAAGAUGCAGAUCAUAUCUCAUAUCUCUACCUUGGGAUGGGCAUAGGAUUUGUGGUCGGCCUUUGGGUGGUGUUCUGCACCAUGUUACUGAGGAGAACCUGGGUGAUUGCCUACUUUCAGGUCAUCGACAAGCUGUAUGAUGAGGCCUAUGUGCGGGUGGUUAUAACUUGGGCUCGCCUGAUGAAGAAGACCCACGACGACGCAGCGUGA
rnacentral:rRNA from 1 species